rnacentral:rRNA from 1 species
GGGGGGGCAAGCGUUUGUUCGGAAUUACUGGGCGUAAAGAGCUCGUAGGCGGCCAACUAAGUCGGACGUGAAAUCCCUCGGCUCAACCGAGGAACUGCGUCCGAUACUGGAUGGCUUGAGUCCGGGAGAGGGAUGUGGAAUUCCAGGUGUAGCGGUGAAAUGCGUAGAUAUCUGGAGGAACACCGGUGGCGAAGGCGGCAUCCUGGACCGGCACUGACGCUGAGGAGCGAAAGCCAGGGGAGCAAACGGGAUUAGAUACCCCGGUAGUCCUGGCCCUAAACGAUGAAUGCUUGGUGUGGCGGGUAUCGAUCCCUGCCGUGCCCGAAGCUAACGCGAUAAGCAUUCCGCCUGGGGAGUACGGUCGCAAGGCUG